UACAGAGGGUGCGAGCGUUAAUCGGAAUUACUGGGCGUAAAGCGCGCGUAGGCGGCUUUGCAAGUCGGGUGUGAAAUCCCCAGGCUUAACCUGGGAACUGCAUUCGAGACUGGCAUUGCUAGAGUAUGGGAGAGGGAAGUGGAAUUUCCGGUGUAGCGGUGAAAUGCGUAGAGAUCGGGAGGAACACCGGUGGCGAAGGCGGGUCUCUGGGCAAUUCCUGACGCUGAGGCGCGAAAGCGUGGGGAGCAAACGGG
rnacentral:rRNA from 1 species